rnacentral:rRNA from 1 species
GGCCGCGGGAAUUCGAUUCAGGCCUAACACAUGCAAGUCGAGCGAUUUACUUCGGUAAAGAGCGGCGGACGGGUGAGUAACGCGUGGGUAACCUGCCCUGUACACACGGAUAACAUACCGAAAGGUAUGCUAAUACGAGAUAAUAUGCUUUUAUCGCAUGGUAGAAGUAUCAAAGCUUUUGCGGUACAGGAUGGACCCGCGUCUGAUUAGCUAGUUGGUGAGGUAACGGCUCACCAAGGCGACGAUCAGUAGCCGACCUGAGAGGGUGAUCGGCCACAUUGGAACUGAGACACGGUCCAAACUCCUACGGGAGGCAGCAGUGGGGAAUAUUGCAAAGGGGGCGAAAGCCUGAUGCAGCAACGCCGC